rnacentral:rRNA from 1 species
ACACUCCUGCGGGAGGCAGCAGUGGGGAAUAUUGGACAAUGGGCGCAAGCCUGAUCCAGCCAUGCCGCGUGAGUGAUGAAGGCCCUAGGGUUGUAAAGCUCUUUCACCGGUGAAGAUAAUGACGGUAACCGGAGAAGAAGCCCCGGCUAACUUCGUGCCAGCAGCCGCGGUAAUACGAAGGGGGCUAGCGUUGUUCGGAUUUACUGGGCGUAAAGCGCACGUAGGCGGACUAUUAAGUCAGGGGUGAAAUCCCGGGGCUCAACCCCGGAACUGCCUUUGAUACUGGUAGUCUUGAGUUCAAGAGAGGUGAGUGGAAUUCCGAGUGUAGAGGUGAAAUUCGUAGAUAUUCGGAGGAACACCAGUGGCGAAGGCGGCUCACUGGCUCGAUACUGACGCUGAGGUGCGAAAGCGUGGGGAGCAAACAGGAUUAGAAACCCUGGUAGUCCC